GAAGGGGGCUAGCGUUGCUCGGAAUGACUGGGCGUAAAGGGCGCGCAGGCGGCUUAUACAGUCAGAUGUGAAAUUCCUGGGCUUAACCUGGGGGCUGCAUUUGAUACGUAUGAGCUAGAGUGUGAAAGAGGGUUGUGGAACUCCAAGUGUAGAGGUGAAAUUCGUAGAUAUUUGGAAGAACACCGGUGGCGAAGGCGGCAACCUGGUUCACAACUGACGCUGAGGCGCGAAAGCGUGGGGAGCAAACAGGAUUAGAUACCCUGGUAGUCCACGCUGUAAACGAUGUAUGCUAGAUGUUAGGCAACUUAGUUGUUUAGUGUCGAAGUUAACGCGAUAAGCAUACCGCCUGGGGAGUACGGCCGCAAGGUUG
rnacentral:rRNA from 1 species